UUUCUUCUAUUCUUUUCUCUAUACGUUGGUGUUCUAACCAAUAAUCACCAAAGCGAUGUUCUGUCCGAUUGAUUCAGGAAUCAACUAACGAAUGCCAAAGUGUUGUACUUUGUGAAUUUCGGUAAACGGAAUCCAAAGUGUUAUACUUUGUGAGUUCGUUAAAUGGAUGCCAAAGUACUAUACUUUGUGAGUUCGUUAAACGGAUGCCAAAGUACUAUACUUUGUGAGUUCGUUAAACGGAUGCCAAAGUACUAUACUUUGUGAAUUCUGUUAAGGUUCGAAUCUCGUGACUACCGUUAAGGUUUGAUUUGGGUUUUACACAAAUACGUAUUCCAUUCUGUUAAACUAUAUGUUUAACUACCAGAAUACUCCCAACCACACACUUACAAUUAAAACAAGCUAUUAAAACAUCAGAAGAUCCAGAACAAUAAAGUAUACGCUUAAUUAUUAGAAGAUGUAGAAUCAAGAAGCUUGUUAAAUCAAUACUGCAUGCUUAUACUGGACUAAGUCGUGAAUAUAUUGAAUCACUGGCUAGUGGGGUAUUGUGCACAUUACUAAUUUGCUCCCAGUUAGGUUCAUUGACCUACUAGGGAUAAUCAUCACUAUUUAGGUUCAUUGAUCUAAUAGUGGUAUGACCAUCGUCACCAUUGUGACUUGUCACCAUUGUGACAGAGUGCCAGAUAAAAAUAAGAUAUAAACCAUUGUAAUCGCUCUUAUGCUGUAAUUUGUAACUAAGAAUCAUUUUAUAAAACCUGAAUGAACUCACUCAGUAUUUCUCCGCUGACAAAACCUCUUUAAAACACGUUUCAGGUAAUUACAGUAGAUUGGAGUAAGGAUUGGAUCCGGCUCUGAAAGACUUCAAGAAGUGGCUUAUUUUAUUAAUUAAAUCAACUUAAGAAAUAUUGUUUUUGGGUUUAUCCCGUAUUAAAAGCUACCUUUGUAAAACAUGGAAUUUAUUCCAUCUAUUUAAAUAAAAUCCGGUGUUUUUAAACUCUGAUAUUUUUCCUAACUCACGGUCCUGAUGAAAUUCCCGCUGCAACGUUUUC
rnacentral:lncRNA from 1 species